AAUCAACGCUGGCGGCGUGCCUCAGACAUGCAAGUCGAACGAUUAAAGCUCUCUUCGGAGAGUGCAUAGAGUGGCGCACGGGUGAGUAACACGUAAGUAAUCUACCUUCGAGUGGGGAAUAACCCGGGGAAACCCGAGCUAAUACCGCAUAACGCAGCGGCAUCGCAAGAUGACAGUUGUUAAAGGAGCAAUCCGCUUGAAGAGGAGCUUGCGGCAGAUUAGCUAGUUGGUAAGGUAACGGCUUACCAAGGCCACGAUCUGUAUCCGGUCUAAGAGGACGGUCGGACACACUGACACUGAAUAACGGGUCAGACUCCUACGGGAGGCAGCAGUCGGGAAUUUUGGGCAAUGGGCGAAAGCCUGACCCAGCAACGCCGCGUGAAGGAUGAAGUAUUUCGGUAUGUAAACUUCGAAAGAAUGGGAAGAAUAAAUGACGGUACCAUUUAUAAGCUCCGGCUAACUACGUGCCAGCCGCCGCAGUAACAC
rnacentral:rRNA from 1 species